rnacentral:rRNA from 1 species
AGAGUUUGAUCAUGGCUCAGGAUGAACGCUAGCGGCAGGCCUAACACAUGCAAGUCGAGGGGUAAUCCCGCUUUCGGGCGGGAACGACCGGCGCACGGGUGAGUAACGCGUAUGCAACCUACCUUUAACUGGGGGAUAGCCCGAAGAAAUUCGGAUUAAUACCCCAUACAACUAUAGAUAAGCAUUUAUUUAUAUUAAAAACUCCGGUGGUUAAAGAUGGGCAUGCGUAACAUUAGUUAGUUGGUGAGGUAACGGCUCACCAAGACUACGAUGUUUAGGGGGCCUGAGAGGGUGGUCCCCCACACUGGUACUGAGACACGGACCAGACUCCUACGGGAGGCAGCAGUGAGGAAUAUUGCGCAAUGGAGGCAACUCUGACGCAGCCAUGCCGCGUGCAGGAUGACGGCCCUACGGGUUGUAAACUGCUUUUAUACAGGAAGAAUUUUCCGCACGUGUGCGGGAUUGACGGUACUGUACGAAUAAGCACCGGCUAACUCCGUGCCAGCAGCCGCGGUAAUACGGAGGGUGCAAGCGUUAUCCGGAUUUAUUGGGUUUAAAGGGUGCGUAGGCGGGAUAAUAAGUCAGUGGUGAAAUACUGCAGCUCAACUGUAGAACUGCCAUUGAUACUGUUAUUCUUGAGUUCGAUUGAGGUAGGCGGAAUGUGUAAUGUAGCGGUGAAAUGCUUAGAUAUUACACAGAACACCGAUUGCGUAGGCAGCUUACUAAGUCGACACUGGCGCUGAGGCACGAAAGCGUGGGGAGCGAACAGGAUUAGAUACCCUGGUAGUCCACGCUGUAAACUAUGAUCACUAGCUGUUGGCGAUACAUCGAUCAGCGGCAAAGCGAAAGCAUUAAGUGAUCCACCCGGGGAGUACGGUCGCAAGAUUGAAACUCAAAGGAAUUGACGGGGGCCCGCACAAGCGGUGGAACAUGUGGUUUAAUUCGAUGAUACGCGAGGAACCUUACCUGGGCUUAAAUGCAGAUUGACGUUUCGGGAAACCGGAAUUCUCUUCGGAGCGAUUUGCAAGGUGCUGCAUGGUUGUCGUCAGCUCGUGCCGUGAGGUGUCGGGUUAAGUCCCAUAACGAGCGCAACCCCUAUUGUUAGUUGCCAGCGGAUAAUGCCGGGGACUCUAACGAAACUGCCGGUGUAAACCGAGAGGAAGGUGGGGAUGACGUCAAAUCAGCACGGCCCUUAUGUCCAGGGCUACACACGUGUUACAAUGGUCGGUACAGAGGGCAGCUACCUGGUGACAGGAUGCUAAUCUCGAAAGCCGGUCUUAGUUCGGAUCGAAGUCUGCAACUCGACUUCGUGAAGCUGGAAUCGCUAGUAAUCGCGUAUCAGCAACGACGCGGUGAAUACGUUCCCGGGCCUUGUACACACCGCCCGUCAAGCCAUGGAAGCUGGGGGUACCUGAAGUCUGUAACCGCAAGGAGCGGCCUAGGGUAAAACUAGUGACUGGGGCUAAGUCGUAACAAGGUA